CAUUUAAGGUGGCCACUAAGGGUUUGGAUACGCCUCUGAGAACACACGGGGGUUAAAAGCAGGAGAUUCCCAGAGAACUUCCUCUUUGGGAAUCCGGCGUUGGUGAGUAGAGUCUGGCCUCUCCCCUGCCCAGCUGCGUCUGGGUGGGGGAGGGGGAGGCCAUGAUGGGGAGGAGGCCGGGAGCCCCAAAAGGUGCAGAGGUGGAGGAGAACAUGCAGGGGUUGAUGAGAAUUGAGAUGUCUGGGCAGCCCCCCCGGAGAGAGAGACAGAAAUUGCGCGGGCAACUCAGCCGGCCAGAAGCGGGGGAUGCGGCAGAGAGAAGGUGCCCGGCAGAUGUGGGAGUCCUUGGGCAGGCAGAGUUGAAGAUUUUAACCCCUUUGUAGACUAAUAGAAACCUUACAAAUACUGAAUCCUCCUGAAUCAGGAUGAGGUGAGAGAGAGAUGAGAGAUGGGCAAGCGUGAGGAAAGCUGGAAGAGAGAAGAAUCCUGAGUGGAAGAGAUGAUGGAGUGGCCUUGGGCUGGACUCUUUCUUGUAUAGCCAUGGACAGACCCGUGUUUUUUCCCUGUGACCCAGAGACUGUAUUUAGGGGGAGGCAACACCCGGGAGUCAAGAGUGAAGCAGCGGCGUGAACAGACACGGCUGAGGAGGGUGUGGGAGGCCCUCUGUCUCCACGGAGAGGAAGAUCUCUGUUCAUGAGGCCCCUCGGCCCCAGGGGGUGAAAUCUGGGGGGGACUGGUGUCCCAAGAGUUGAGAGACUGCUGUUUCUGGAAGUGGGUGGAGCAUCUUUAAACGGGGAGCCCUAAAGGCAGUCCUGGCCCGUGUCCAGUGCUCUGUGUGCAAAUGAUGGAAAUCAGACUGGAUAUCCCAGCCUUAGCUAAAUGAAGACUUACAGGGGAAAAGUGAAGAUGGUAAAUUGGCUUCAGUGGGGACAUACAAGCUUGGCACCACUUCAGGUUCAAAGUGGAUAAUUUCAGAGGAGUUCCUGAUACACAAAUGAAUACGUAGAACUCUCCCUUCCUGAAUGACAAAGGAACAUCUCCUCACAUACUUCAGGGUAUUUUUUUAAACAGGAUUUAAUAUUAUUGUCUGUGUUUUAGUGCUACAGCUGGUUCUUAUGCCUGAUGCUUUUUUCUUCUCCCACUGAGUCUAAUUUCCUCAAAACUAAACAAAUCAUAUAACUCUCUCCACGAUCAUGCUGCAGUGGUGUUGUCAUAAUUAUUUUUAUCUUCUCUUGUACAAGCCAUAUUAAAUAGUGGCUAUUAUAAGGUUUUUCAAUUUAGACUUAAUUGGCAAUCUGAAGCCUACAAUUUUUUUGCUAUUCAUCAUAAUGACUUUAAAGUGUACUCUGCCUAAAUUCUGGAUCCAGUAAAUCAGGAACAUUGUAUCGCUCUAGGAAAAGAAAGAAGCCUAAGGAGGAAAAUAAAACAUCUAGGUAGAACCUGCUUGAGAUGCAGGUUCCUGUGCUGAGGCAAGGAUGGGAAGUUUGUUCCCCAGUAAUAAAUGGCAGUGCUCCAUUCUAAAGAAAUGAGGACAGAUGAGUUGAAGUCAUAUAGUAAAAGUUUGGGAGAGUUUGUGGCAUGUGUUGAGAAUUGACACAGAAACACUUUGCUAAGCAGGACCUAAAGUAACCAUAUGUUCUCAAUGUGUCUGCUUGUCUUGGUGAAUGGGAUUAUCUGUUUUCACAUCCCAGUUACAAUCAAGAGAGAGUACAUGUAUGACCUGAGCUAGAAAGGCUGUGUACAGGCUAGUAGUGCCAUGCCAAUACUCCCCAGAAAAAAACAAAAACAAAAACAAAAACAAAAAAAAAAAAAAAAAAAAAAAAAAACCAAAAAAACCCCAAAAAAAACAAAAACAUCAAAUGGUACCAAUUCCUCUCUGAAAUACCUUUUUCUGAACUGGGUUUGAGCCUUUUUUUUUUUCUCUCCACAAUUGCCCCUUCCUUGCUUUUCUGUCUCCUUCCAGAAGUGCUGUGCUUCCCAUGCUAGUUCCUACUCGGAUCACAAGACUCUGUUUGUUAUGCUCCCUCCAUAAAACUAAAUGCAGAGCUCAAGGCCACUGUGUAAAGCAAUCAUGCUUGCAUCUUGAAUGGGCACAUCUUCUUUAAAUGUUCAUAAUAUUGUAAAAACAUGCAUAGCACUAAAAUUGUCUGCCUCUCCCCCACCUCCCAAGAUCAAUACAUAGCAGACUAGAGAUAGAUAGAGUUUUUCUAAAAUUUACAGUUAUAACUGAAGUUUAAUACCUUAGUUCAACUAAGGUAUUAAAUACCUUAGUUGUCUUGAUCUCUAUUUGCCUUAUUUAAUCGAUCCUAACAUCAUCUCUCUUUGAGGAUUUUUGAAAUAUAUAUGUAUAUAAAUAAAAAUGUAACUUUUUUUUUUAAUGUUUCACUAUAUGACCUCAAGGCCCAGAGCCUUAUUUACAGACUCUUUAUUCACUUUUUUUUUGGCAAGCAGAUUUUGCAUUAGUUUGCUCAAAACCUGAAAGCAGCAUCAAGGAUUAACAGAAUCUAAAAUUCAUCAUCUACAGCUCCUCAAGUGUGAAUUUAAUAUGGAAGAAAGCUGACAGUAUUAUUGCUGCCAGGGUAUAUGGCUCUGAAACCAUUCAGCAGGGCCAGAAUGAAUUUGGUUCACAUCUGAAAAAGAUGCCUAUUGACAAAAAUGCAUCAGCCCAUUUCUCAAGGGAAAAUCAAAACCAUUCUUUUCCAGGAUUUACAUACAGAGCUUUGGAAAGCAUUUAUUUUACAAACAAAACCAGGCAUAUUGCUUCCUCUCUAUGCUGCACUCAUCAACUCAGUAUUCUAAUAGAUUUAACAAGAGGCACCAGUAAAACCAUGGUUUGACCAGAGCAAAUUAUUUAUAAUUAAUGCUUACAAGCCAGAUUAAUUUAGUCUCAUUCCUCUCAAAGUGACUGGUUUCCCUAUGAGGGCGUUUCACCCAUUGCUAACCACGAAAAAGCCACCUUUGAGGACAGCUUUGAGUGACCAGCUCCAUCAGAGGUCACAUCCAGAGAGACUUGUCCAUUACACUGCUUCCUAUUUCUUCCUAUCGCUCUUUGAGUAGUUGCAGAAAAGUACUUGAGAUUUUAUUAUCUGAACUAUGGGAUCAGUUAUAAUUAAUGUGAAAUUGUUUGUUUCCUGGCAGGAUGAUGCCACGUCUCGGGAUGUGGGUAAACUGAUCAUGAUGAUGGUCUCUCCCUUUGGGUGAGGAAAACUUGGAAGAAAAGCUGAGGAAGCCACACAUGCUUUUAUUUCUUCAGUAAAUUGUGGCAAUUUAAAGCUAGGUAGCAGAGAGAGUUACAGAUCUUAAACUAAUAAUAUUGAUUUUCCUUUCUGGAACACACAGCCCCUCUACAAAACAUUGCUCUCAGAAAAAAUAUUAGACAUCUGCUAAGCUGUGCUUAACAGAAGUAUUUAUGUUACUCUUACACUGAAUUAAGCAGGGUGACAUAUAGCAAGUACAUAGGAUUAAUCAUAUGAUUUACUAAUUUUCACCAUCACUACAGUUAUUCUUCUAAUCUUGCAUGCUGAAAUUGAAGUGCUUUAGCAAAGGCCUAACACUGUCUCUUAAGCUUUAGAAGUUACUCUUGUACGUUUCAGAGAGCAUGUUUACAUACUGAGUUUUUAGACUGAUACAUAGAUAUAGAUUCCUGUCUGUAUUUUUGUAGAUAAAUGUAUUUUUUUGCAUUUUAAAUAAACUGGAUGGAAAUAAAAUAAUGUAAUAAACGA